AGAGCGAACGCUGGCGGCAGGCUUAACACAUGCAAGUCGAGCGCCCCGCAAGGGGAGCGGCAGACGGGAGAGUAACACGUGGGAACGUACCUUUCGGUUCGGAACAACCCAGGGAAACUUGGGCUAAUACCGGAUACGCCCGCAAGGGGAAAGAUUUAUCGCCGGAAGAUCGGCCCGCGUCUGAUUAGCUAGUUGGUGAGGUAACGGCUCACCAAGGCGACGAUCAGUAGCUGGUCUGAGAGGAUGAUCAGCCUCACUGGGACUGAGACACGGCCCAGACUCCUACGGGAGGCAGCAGUGGGGAAUAUUGGACAAUGGGCGCAAGCCUGAUCCAGCCAUGCCGCGUGGGUGAUGAAGGCCCUAGGGUUGUAAAGCCCUUUCGGGCGGGGAAGAUAAUGACGGUACCCGCAGAAGAACGCCCCGGCUAACUUCGUGCCAGCAGCCGC
rnacentral:rRNA from 1 species